UUUUUUUUAAAGUUCAAAACACGUGUAUUUGAAGUCAGGAGGUUUAUAAUGGUUUAGUGUCCUGGUUCUGAAGGAGACAGACCUCUUUGAUUUCCACUUCAGCCACUUACUAAUCAUGUGGCAUUUGGCAAAGUACAUAACUUCUCUCUGGGAGUUGGCAUCCUCAUCUGUGAAAUUGGGGUACCCUCGGAAGAGGGCUUACCUGAAAGGCCUUGGCCCUGAGUUCAGUGCUCCCUACUGAGCAUUCAGUGAGUGGUGGUGAGUACCAUUGCUCUGCCCCCGACUCCCUUGCACCCUUAAUAAAUUUAUUCUUCCAGCUUCCUAGGACUCAGAAUCCAGGUGGGUGUCUAGAACCUUUUUUUUUUUUAAUUGUUGAUGGACCUUUAUUUAUUAAUUUAUUUUAUGUGGUGCUGAGAACCGAACCCAGUGCCUCAUAUGUUCUAGGCAAGUGCGCUACCAACUGAGCCACAACCCCAGCCCUGUUUAGAACCUUUUCCUGUGUCUGGAGGCUAGGGACAGGCUGGGGGACCAACCCCUUCCACUUUCAAGACAGUGUGGGUCCACCUCAUGCUGCAUACUUCCAUCCCUGGAUUAUUUUAAAGAGCUUUUUAUUAUGAAAUAAUUUCAGAAUAAUAGAGUGUCAAGGGCAACAGAACAUUUUGCCACAUUUUACUAUUCAUUCUUUCCUUCCUCAUCCUCUGGGCUCCUUUUUUUUCUUUCCCUUCUCUCUGAGCCAUGAACUAUUUAAGAGUUAUUUGCAUACAUCAUGCCCCUUCAUCCAUACAGAGUUUUUUAGUGUAUGUUUCCUGAGAACAAAGGCAUUUCCUCACAUAUCCAUAGCAUAGUUACCAAAUUCAGGAAAUAUGUAAUUUCUGGCCUAUAUGAGAGCUACUUAUUUCUAUGUAGUUCAUCCCUCAGUUUUGUCAGCUGGCCCAAUAAUGUACUUUAAAAAAUAUUUUAUUUUUUCUGGUCCAGGGUCCAAUUCAGCAUGGAGGACUUUCCUGCUUUUAGUAAUCCUCUCUUGUUUCCUUUAAACUGGAGAAGUUCCUUAGCCUUUUUUUGUCUUUCUUGACAUUGAUUUGUUUUGAAGAUUACAGUCAAAUUGAUGUAGAAUAUCCUUUCAGUUGGUCCCUUAACAUUCAUUUAAAGUAAAAUGAGUUAGGAAACCACUUUCCCUUUUCUUUUGUAUAAAUAUGUAUUUGCUGAACACACAACCUUGUAUUGCAUGCUGUGAGGGAGGGACAAAGCCUGGUCCCAACUUGAGGACCUUAAGUUUGGGUUUGUGGGAAAGUAUUUCCAUCAGGUAGGCUGAAGGGACCCCCUGUGUUCUUGUGCCUGGAGGCACUCACAAGCCUGGAUACUUAUAUCUUGGAUGGAUGCAAGAUGAGUCAGCAUUCUAGAGGCCUACAAAGAUGCAGAAAAUGGCCCUGCUUCCUUUCCAGCAUCAGUCAUCAUUACCUGGACUCCUGAGGUGCUCCAAAGAUCACACUCCAAACACGAAGUUUUGCGGAAGUCUUGAAUAAGCUGCAGCCAUGGUUUCUAGCCCUGCCUACCAAAGGUUCUGCUCUGAUUUGGGGAUACUCCCUUUCCUUCUGGGCCAUUGCUGGGAAGAAGAGUUCCUGUGUGGCUCUACUAAGUGCCACUGGAACUCAGGAUGAAUUGGGGAAAGGAAAGUCACUGAGCCCUGGAAUGAUGGGAAGGUGGGCUGCAGGUUGCAGGCCUCAACGCAACCUGUGACAAGGUUAAGCAACCUUAGGAUGAUCUGCAUUUUGACCUGGCUGGCAGAUUAGAUCCUCAGACCUGAAGCUUUGCUUUUUUCAGCUUUUUAGCUUCUCUGCUGAGUGAUACACAUGGAGGAUCUAGUCAAGUAUUUUAUCAGACCAAAGCAGACAGUGCAAAAACAUUUGAAGUGUCAUUGAAUCUUCACAAAACAGUGGCCAAACAAGGUUUCAAUAUGAGAAAAUAAAAUUGAUUUUCAUGUAGUCAUUAAGUCAACACCAUUGCCUACUUUGUUAAUACACUAACAUUUCAAAGUACUAUCUGGGCUGCAGACAUUCCUAUAAUAGAUGAGAGACAACCCUGUCUUUCUGAAUUUAACUUAAGUGUUAAGUACAAGCCGGGCAUAAUGGCUCAUGCGUGUAAUCUGAGCGGCUCAGGAGGCUGAGGCAGGAAGAUUUCAAAGCCAGCCUCAGCAACUUAGCAAGACCCUAAACAACACAGCAAGACCCUAUCUCUAAAUAAAAUAUAAAAAAGGGCUGAGGAUGUGGUUCAGUGGUGAAGAACCUAUGAGUUCAAUUCCUGGUACCAAAAAAGAAAAAGAAUAAGUACAAUAUAAAAUUCAAUCCCUGGGUUGCUCUGAUGACAUUUUAAGGGUUCAGUAGCCACAUGUAGCCAAUGGCUACUGAGUUGAACAGUGCAGUCCAGAGCAGUUCCACCUCUGCACAGAGUUAAGUUGGACUAUGCUCCCUGCACUUCCUGAAGCUUGAGGAGCUGUGGUGUGGAGAGGCCUCCUUCCCUGAUAGACUUUC
rnacentral:lncRNA from 1 species